UACGUAGGGUGCGAGCGUUGUCCGGAAUUAUUGGGCGUAAAGAGCUUGUAGGCGGUCUGUCGCGUCUGCUGUGAAAAUCCGGGGCUCAACCCCGGACUUGCAGUGGGUACGGGCAGACUAGAGUGUGGUAGGGGAGACUGGAAUUCCUGGUGUAGCGGUGAAAUGCGCAGAUAUCAGGGGGAACACCGAUGGCGAAGGCAGGUCUCUGGGCCACUACUGACGCUGAGAAGCGAAAGCAUGGGGAGCGAACAGG
rnacentral:rRNA from 1 species